AUAUCUGGACUUUUUAAAUACAGUAACAGGCUGCGACAUGUUUGGAAUUGUGGGGGCCCACAACUUCGGAGGGCCCUUGAAGUAUGUUCUUAAAUACUACAUGGAAUGCAGCGAUGAACAGGGAAAAGGAUCUGAUCUGAUGAGAAGGGUUAAAAACACUAUUAAGUUGGAGCUACUACGAGCAAGUGACUACAGCCACAAAUAUGAAGAAAAGCUGCGGAAGGGCCAUGGAAGUGACUUGAGGGCCUCGGACAUAAGGUCACCGGGUUAGAUUGAGGAAUAAGGACUGACAAAUCCCGAAACCAGGAGGAAGGGACGUUGGAUUAAGAUUGGACUUGUUUAUAUGCUUUUUUCUUUUUUUUCGUUUUUUUUUUAACUAAUAGAAUGUUAUAUAAAGUUGAUGAAUGAUAGAAUGAUAGAAAAAUGAAUGAUAGAAAAAUGUUGGAAGAGAUUACCUGGCUUUAGUAAAGAUGUAUAAAGAAUUAUGAAAGAACAUUAUGAAUAUAAGAAGCUGGUAAAGUUAAGAUCUAAAUUUUAAAUUUUAAGGUUUAUUUUAUAAUAGAAAGAUGGAAAGGAUUUGCUGGGAUAAUUAAUAACUAUUAAAGAAUUAUGAAAGAACAUUAUGAAUAUAAGAAGCUGGUAAAGUUAAGAUCUAAAUUUUAAAUUUUAAGGUUUAUUUUAUAAUAGAAAGAUGGAAAGGAUUUGCUGGGAUAAUUAAUAACUAGAAUACAAAGGAAGGGAGGAGGAGGAGGUCUAAUGUUUUUCUUCUUCUUUACUAUUAUUUUUCUUCUGUAUUUUUC